rnacentral:rRNA from 1 species
AUUGAACGCUGGCGGCAGGCCUAACACAUGCAAGUCGAGCGGCAGCGGGAAAGUAGCUUGCUACUUUUGCCGGCGAGCGGCGGACGGGUGAGUAAUGCCUGGGAAAUUGCCCAGUCGAGGGGGAUAACAGUUGGAAACGACUGCUAAUACCGCAUACGCCCUACGGGGGAAAGCAGGGGACCUUCUGGCCUUGCGCGAUUGGAUAUGCCCAGGUGGGAUUAGCUAGUUGGUGAGGUAAUGGCUCACCAAGGCGACGAUCCCUAGCUGGUCUGAGUCGAUGAUCAGCCAGACUGGAACUGAGACACGGUCCAGACUCCUACGGGAGGCAGCAGUGGGGAAUAUUGCACAAUGGGUGAAACCCUGAUGCAGCCAUGCCGCGAGUGUGAAGAAGGCCUUCGGGUUGUAAAGCACUUUCAGCGAGGAGGAAAGGUCAGUAGCUAAUAUCUGCUGACUGUGACGUUACUCGCAGAAGAAGCACCGGCUAACUCCGUGCCAGCCGCCGCGGUAAGAC